rnacentral:pre_miRNA from 1 species
AGUGGAAUAGCUGGGUCAAAUGGUGGUUGCAUUCCCAGUUUUCUAAGGAAUCUCCUCACUGCUUUCCAGAGUGGCUGCACCAAUUUGCAGGUCCACCAGCAAC